rnacentral:sRNA from 3 species
CCCUAGCCCCGAUAAAAGUGGAAAUCCUUUUUAUUUUUUUUUAAUAAAAAGAUUGUAACGGAUAGCGGGAUUAGCU